rnacentral:tRNA from 1 species
GUCAGUAUGGCAGAUUAGUGUAAUGAACUUAAAAUUCAUAUAUAAAUAUUUAUUAUUUUGCUGAAA